rnacentral:rRNA from 1 species
UACGGAGGGGGCAAGCGUUGUUCGGAUUUACUGGGCGUAAAGGGCGCGUAGGCGGAUGUUCGCGUCAGAGGUGAAAGCCCCGGGCUCAACCUGGGAACUGCCUUUGAAACGGGACAUCCUGAGUUCGGAAGAGGGUAGCGGAAUUCCCAGUGUAGAGGUGAAAUUCGUAGAUAUUGGGAAGAACACCAGUAGCGAAGGCGGCUACCUGGUCCGACACUGACGCUGAGGCGCGAAAGCGUGGGGAGCAAACAGG